rnacentral:misc_RNA from 1 species
ACACCUCAACUCCCAUGGUUCGCCAUGGCGAGCUUGGACUUUGGGGGUUUUGUCUGGCCCAUGGUCGGCUCCUCUCAAAUGAAUCAGCCUGCCAGUGUUUGGUGGCAUCACAGGUGUGAUAAAUAUCUACGCUUGCGAUUGCCCACCAGGUAACCUUCAGCAAUGGGGGUUUGCUGGGGCUCAUAGACAUCUCUCCCUCAGCGAGGACAGCUUUUUUAACGU